UGAAUUUGAUAUACAAUUUGCUCUUAAGCAGGCUAUGGGCAGUACAUAUGCAUAUAUUUCCUCUGUCUAAUUUGAUGUUGUGCAAUGCGCAAAGCAGCUUAGUUUCAUAUUGUGCGAGUGAUGUGGAAAAUAAAAGCAUAUAUACAGCAAUCAAUACAGCUGAAUUUGAUAAACAAUUUUCUAGAACAUACAUACAUUUCAAGCUGCGUAUUUUAUAAAAAGAAAAGAGUGCAAGUUCGAAACCUUCGGGAAUUGGAGGAACAGGCAGCCGGUUCUUAAUAAAAUAUGCCAACUCUUGAGUGGUGUAGAGCCUUCUAGGGGGCAGAAAAUGUUGGUUGUUGUGGAUUUGCAGGUUCGGAAGCUUCUCGACAGAAUGAAGCUUGACCAUCCAACCGUCACAGAAUGAAGCUUGACCAUCCAAAAUGUUUAAAAACCUGUUAGAAACACAAGCUCACGACACAAAUUGGGACAUUCAAGACUAGCAACAAACACAAGAAAACUUUGAAACUCCAACAAAGCCAAAAGGGGAGGGUUUAAAGUUACCUGCUCUCAUUCCAUUAUGACCAUCGGCGCCGCGCACAGCGUCCUUGGCGUCGUAGAGGUCUUCAAAAGUCACAAACGCCCGGGUUCGCCCCAUCCUUACUUCCACCAACUUUCCAAACUUACCGAACACCUUUCGGACAUCUUCUUCUGUGUCGCUAAACUGGAGAUUUUCCACCAUAACGGUCGCCAUUGGAUGGGUCAGAGAAAUUUUUUGGUUUGAGCUCCAGCCAGCACACUGAGAGAAAGCCAAGCCACAGCCUGAGACAGAGUACAAAAUCAGUAUUGGAUAUUUCUUGAUAAACAUACCAUCCGCUUACACCUCUAUAAUAUUUUGAAUUUCUUAUUUCCUAAAAACUCCAUAAAAAUCAGUAGAUGAGCAAUGAAAAAGAAAAGUCAUUAACACUGUGCAAAUAUGGUGCACUGUACUAAGGCUGUAUGUACCAAGACUAUAAUAGUAGAAAGACUUUGAGGGAUGAACUUCCCUUUAGGCAUGUGGAAGGUAAGGGGUUUCAAGAAUUUAUGUUUGAAGCUCAGCCACAGUGGGCGCAACCAAGUAGGAAGUUAGUUGCAAAGGGAGUGUGGAUUUGUACCAAUCUGAGAAGGGAAAGAUGAUGUCUAUCUUUGAAAAACAUGCAAACAGAGUUAGUGUUACCACUGACACUUGGACAUCAAUUCAAAACAUUAACUACAUGGUGGUUACUGCCCAUUUCAUGGACGAUGACCGGAGGUCUGGAAGUUACACAAAAGGAUUAUUAACUUUUGUUCAAUUACCAGUCACAAAGGGGAAGAUAUAGGGAAGGGAGAAUGGGAUAUCAGUAGGGUGUUCACCAUCACAGUGGACAAUGCUAGUACAAAUGACGUAGCAGUUGCAAACAUGAAAACAAGGCUGAGUGACACUUUGACUUUUAAUGGGGACUUUUUGCACCUUAGAUGUGCAUGUCACAUCAUAAACUUGAUUGUCAAGGAUGGCAUUGAAGAAAUUGAGGAUGACAUCGAUGCAACCUGGCAUUGUGUCAAGUUUAUUAGGUCAAGUUCCUGUCGGUUAGACAAGUAUAGAGAUUUUGCUGUGCUUGAGCGCCGGAGUAAGAAUGCAAAUGUUCCCCUAGAUGUUAUCACUAGGUGGAAUAGCACUUAUUUAAUGCUUGAGGCAGCAUUGAAGUAUGAGAAAGUGUUUGAUAGGAUGGCUUGUGAAGAUCUGCACUUUCAGAAUUAUUUUGAACAGAAAGAUAGCAAAGGUAAGAAGAGGGUAGGCCCCCCUGUGAAGGCAGAUUGGAGAAAUGCAUAAGCUUUUGUGCAUUUUCUUAAAAAAUUCUAUGAGACAACACUCAAAUUAAGUGCCUGGAAAUCAGUGACUGCAAAUUUGCAGUUCUCUGAGAUGAAUUGCCUUCAAACAGAGAUUGAUAACAAGGUAAAAGAUCAGUCUGAUCCUGUUCUGCAAAGGGUGGCAAUGGGGAUGAAAGAAAAAUUCAACAAGUAUUGGGACAGCUUUGAAACCAUGAACAAAAUUAUGGUGAUUGCCAAUGUCCUAGACCCACGCUGGAAGCUUCAAUAUCAGAAAAAAAGCACUUGCAAAGCUGGGAGUCGAAGCUGGUAAUGUUGAAGCAAUAACAAGGGACUUGAAGACCAUUUUGUUGAGAAUGUAUGAUGAAUAUAGGGGUUUUGAGGGAGGUUUAAGCCAACCUCUUCAAUCAGAAGGUGCUGCAACGAUAGAAGGGGUUGAUUUUGAUGAUUUAGAAGAUGGACAAGCCGAAAUACUAGCUGAUCUGAUGAAAGAAAGACUUGAAAAUGAACAAAAGAUGAUCUCAAAUGAGGUGGACAAGUACCUCGCUGAUAGACCUGUCAAUCCCUUAGUUAAAGAAUUUGAUGUUUCACAAUGGUGGAGGGUCAAUUCAUCUGCCUAUCCUAGUCUUUCAAAGCUUGCGAAAGACAUUUUUGCAAUUCCUUGCUCUACUGUGGCAAGUGAGAAUGCAUUUAGCUUGGGAAAAAGGGUAGUUAAUCUCUUUAGGAGUUCACUGACUCCUCAAAUGGUUGAGGCACUAGUCUGCACUAGUGAUUGGUUGAGAGCCGAGCAACCUAAUCUCUAUGCAGAACCAACAAAGGUGGAGAUGUCCCUGAACUAGAAGAACUACAGAGGUAAUAAUCUUAAUUUACUUGCUAUGUUUAAGAUUUUAAGUUAAUAACUUGUUACUAUAUUAACAUGGUUGUUUUGAUUGUUUUUGUGAUUAUUUUUUUUUUUUAAGACACUGCUGCGUUGCAUUUAGGAGUUCAGAACCCAGUUACAACAACUGCAACUUGAAGAUUUGGAUGCCAGAAACUAUUGGUGCUGCUGUGUUUUUGUUAAGUUAUUGAAGUGCUACAAAGAAGACCACACGAGCAGAUUUUUGUUAACAGCAAGAUAUUAUUUUGAAGUUAUGUAAUAUUCGCUACUUUCGGACUUGGGAGUAGUCCCUUAUGAUUAUUGACCUCACAUCUGUCUCCUUAGAAAGUGAGGAAUAUGAAGAUGUAUUUUUCAGAAAAUUGUUGUUGCAUCUAGUAAUUGCUCGGAAAAAAAAGAGCUUAAAACAACAUAAACAGGUAUAUGGGCAGAAAUCAAACUAUUUCUUGAGGCCCAUAAUUACUAUCGGUAUCAGCCCAACUGAAGGAUUACCAACCGUCUCUGUUGGUAACGGAUAGUGUGGUAUUGACAAGUGUCGGCAUGAUAGUGGUACUGAAUUAGUACAUGCCGUCAAGUGGUGGCAUGGCAGUGGUUUAGGCUCAAAUGUGCGAUAACCGUACCAGGGCCAGCCCUAAAACAAGGUGAAUGUAGGACGAGAAAAAUGACUUUAUAGACUUAGAAAAGCAAGCUUACAAUGUUUGAAACUCCAUGUGUUUCAGGUGCCUGAUUACCAGCUCCAAUGCCUGUAGUUACAGUGCCACCGGCAUUAAAACUUCCAAAACUCGAUGUCUUUCGAAGAGACUCAAGGUCAUACGGAACCUCCGGUACAUCUGCAAAAUGAAAACAGGUAAAUAACCAUCAAGGCUAUCAACAUUUAUCUACAGAUAAAUAAUUAAACUCCCUCACCUAAUUAUCAUACAUGAAUCUUGUACAUUAAACUAGUUAUCAAUAAGGAUGAAUUUGAUAUACAAUUUGCUCUUAAGCAGGCUAUGGGCAGUACAUAUGCAUAUAUUUCCUCUGUCUAAUUUGAUGCUGUGCAAUGCGCAAAGCAGCUUAGUUUCAUAUUGUGCGAGUGAUGUGGAAAAUAAAAGCAUAUAUACAGCAAUCAAUACAGCUGAAUUUGAUAAACAAUUUUCUAGAACAUACAUACAUUUCAAGCUGCGUAUUUUAUAAAAAGAAAAGAGUGCAAGUUCGAAACCUUCGGGAAUUGGAGGAACAGGCAGCCGGUUCUUAGUAAAAAAUGCCAACUCUUGAGUGGUGUAGAGCCUUCUAGGCGGCAGAAAAUGUUGGUUGUUGUGGAUUUGCAGGUUCGGAAGCUUCUCGACAGAAUGAAGCUUGACCAUCCAACCGUAACAGAAUGAAGCUUGACCAUCCAAAAUGUUUAAAAAACUGUUAGAAACACAAGCUCACGACACAGAUUGGGACAUUGAAGACCAGCAACAAACACAAGAAAACUUUGAAACUCCAACAAAGCCAAAAGGGGAGGGUUUAAAGU
rnacentral:lncRNA from 1 species